rnacentral:rRNA from 1 species
UACGGGGGGGGUAAGCGUUGUUCGGAAUUAUUGGGCGUAAAGGGCGCGUAGGCGGUGCCACAAGUCACCUGUGAAAUCUCCGGGCUUAACUCGGAGCCUGCAGGCGAAACUGUGGUGCUGGAGUGUGGGAGAGGUGCGUGGAAUUCCUGGUGUAGCGGUGAAAUGCGUAGAGAUCAGGAGGAACACCCGUGGCGAAGGCGGCACUCUGGGUCGCACCUGACGCUGAGACGCGAAAGCGUGGGGAGCGAACGGG